rnacentral:lncRNA from 1 species
CUUUGCUUUAGUGAGAUAUCAUUUACGUGGCUGACACCACUUUGAAACUCAAAAAGGGCUGUUCGUUUCAUUGAUGCAGGUUCAUGCGACUGCGGCAAUUUUUUUCAAAAUUCUUGUUCGUUUGAUUGACGCCGAGACCUGCGUCUAACCGCCGCGUCUGACGCCGAGACCUGCGUUUGACGUCGUAAAAUUCUGCGGUCGCGACGUAAGUUAUGCGUCUGUUUAAGCUAUUUACAAUUAUAUCCUUAAUCUA